UUCUUCUUCUGAGCAAGAAUAACUAGGCGCGGCCGAAACUAAGGAAGCGUCACGUGAUCCGCGGCUGCAUAGACCUUGUAACGAUAGUAGACGCGGCGGCCGAGCUUCUGGGAAGAACAAAAUUUGAAAACUGGAACAGUGUCUCAGGAUGGAAAAUGCUUUAUGGAUGUGCAGUUUUCAGAUGGAUCAGUGUCUCCAGCAGCUCUGGAAUAAGGAUCAAAGGGAUCCAAAAAGGAUCUUCAGCAUCUCCACUGGAAUAACUACAAAAAAGGAAGGGGAAAGUUUGCUAAGUGAUGAAACUAUAGGCAGAAAUUAGAAGAGCCUUUUCCUAUAUUUUAAUUCCACAAUGGAAAGCAACAGUUAUAUGAUAAGUAAUGGAAAUUCUUAUUGGUGUUGAGCUUGCAAUUAUUCUGGCUCCAGGUCAAAUUUUUUACUUGCUCAUUUUAGACUUAUAUCAUAUGUCUGCUUUAAUUUUUUUUUAAUUGUAUUGCUUUCUUUUGUACCACUUGCUUUAUGUAGUAUGGUGCUUUUAAAUCUGUAGAUGUUAGCACUUUGGAAAUACCUGCCGCAAGUAAAUAAAUAAAACAACUGGUCAUUUGCUG